AAUAUCAAAGGUGAGCCAGUACAGGAUGGACCCGCGUCUGAUUAGCUAGUUGGUAAGGUAACGGCUUACCAAGGCGACGAUCAGUAGCCGACCUGAGAGGGUGAUCGGCCACAUUGGAACUGAGACACGGUCCAAACUCCUACGGGAGGCAGCAGUGGGGAAUAUUGCACAAUGGGCGAAAGCCUGAUGCAGCAACGCCGCGUGAGUGAUGAAGGCCUUCGGGUCGUAA
rnacentral:rRNA from 1 species